AUACGGAGGGCACAAGCGUUGUUCGGAAUUAUUGGGCGUAAAGCGCGUGUAGGCGGCUGGGUAAGUCGGGUGUGAAAGUCCGGGGCUCAACCCCGGAAUUGCACUCGAAACUACCUAGCUAGAGUCUCGGAGAGGAGGGCGGAAUUCCCGGUGUAGAGGUGAAAUUCGUAGAUAUCGGGAGGAACACCAGUGGCGAAGGCGGCCCUCUGGACGAUGACUGACGCUGAGACGCGAAAGCGUGGGGAGCAAACAGGAUUAGAUACCCUGGUAGUCC
rnacentral:rRNA from 1 species